CCCUUUCGAGACCAUUUGGUCCCGCCGCAAAUUCGAUAUCCUCGGCAAGAAAAGGGGCAAGGGCGAAGAACGCCGUAUCGGCCUCGCACGAUCCCUCGCUAUCGACAAGAGGAAAAAGACGCUGCUGAAGGAGUUCGAGCAAAGCGGGAAGUCUUCGGCGUUUGUCGACAAACGAAUCGGGGAGAAGAAUGAUGAGCUCGGAGAGUUUGAUAAGGCAAUUAUGCGGUCCCAGCGCGAGCGUCAGUUGAAAUUAAGCAAGAAGAGCAAGUAUAACUUAUCAGACGGGGAAGAAGAAGAUUUAGAAAUUCAGGGCUUUGGUCCCCUUCUAGAGCGGGAUGAUUUUGACGAUGAAAUGCUGUCUGAUGAUGAUAAAGAUGAUGCAGAAGCAGAUGAAACAAGAAGGAAGUCAGCCAACUUAAAGCAACUUAAUGAUCAUGAUACACCAAAUCAAGUAGAGCAGGGCAUGGUGGAAGGGGAAGAAAAUAAGCACAAAACCAAGAAGGAAGUAAUGGAGGAGG
rnacentral:misc_RNA from 1 species